GACGCACCGUGCGAACGUUAUUCGGAAUCAUUGGGCUUAAAGGGCGCGUAGGCGGCGGUGUAAGUUGGAAGUGAAAUCCCAUCGGCUCAACCGUGGAAUUGCUCCCAGUACUGCAUCGCUCGAGGGGGAUAGGGGUUUGCGGAACUACCGGUGGAGCGGUGAAAUGUGUUGAUAUCGGUGGGAACGCCAGUGGCGAAAGCGGCAAACUUGACCCUUCCUGACGCUGAGGCGCGAAAGCUAGGGGAGCAAACGGG
rnacentral:rRNA from 1 species